rnacentral:rRNA from 1 species
AACGCGAAGAACCUUACCAGGUCUUGACAUCCUCUGGCAACCCUAGAGAUAGGGCUUCCCCUUCGGGGGCAGAGUGACAGGUGGUGCAUGGUUGUCGUCGGCUCGUGUCGUGAGAUGUUGGGUUAAGUCCCGCAACGAGCGCAACCCUUGAUCUUAGUUGCCAGCAUUCAGUUGGGCACUCUAAGGUGACUGCCGGUGACAAACCGGAGGAAGGUGGGGAUGACGUCAAAUCAUCAUGCCCCUUAUGACCUGGGCUACACACGUGCUACAAUGGGCAGAACAAAGGGCAGCGAAGCCGCGAGGCUAAGCCAAUCCCACAAAUCUGUUCUCGGUUCGGAUCGCAGUCUGCAACUCGACUGCGUGAAGCUGGAAUCGCUAGUAAUCGCGGAUCAGCAUGCCGCGGUGAAUACGUUCCCGGGUCUUGUACACACCG